AGUGAACGCUGGCGGUAGGCCUAACACAUGCAAGUCGAACGGCAGCACAGUAAGAGCUUGCUCUUACGGGUGGCGAGUGGCGGACGGGUGAGGAAUACAUCGGAAUCUACUUUUUCGUGGGGGAUAACGUAGGGAAACUUACGCUAAUACCGCAUACGACCUACGGGUGAAAGCAGGGGAUCUUCGGACCUUGCGCGAUUGAAUGAGCCGAUGUCGGAUUAGCUAGUUGGCGGGGUAAAGGCCCACCAAGGCGACGAUCCGUAGCUGGUCUGAGAGGAUGGACCGACACUCGAGAACAGAGACACGGCAGAGACUUACAGGAGAGGCAGGUGUGGAGUAUUGUGGAAUAGGGGCGAACGUCUGAUACAGCUACCGCGUGUGUGAGAAGAACCUCCGGGUUGUGUAACGCUCUUGUGGGGAGAAAAAAAAGGCGCAUGUUAACCCCGCUGUGUUGACGGUACACACAAAGUAAACGCCGGCUCACUUCGUG
rnacentral:rRNA from 1 species